AACACAUGCAAGUCGAACGAGAAAGUGGAGCAAUCCAUGAGUAAAGUGGCGCACGGGUGAGUAACACGUGACUAACCUACCCUUGAGCGGGGGAUAACCUAGGGAAACCUGGGCUAAUACCGCAUAAUACCUACGGGUCAAAGCGAGCAAUCGCACUUAAGGAGGGGGUCGCGGCAGACUAGCUAGUUGGUGAGGUAAUGGCUCACCAAGGCGAUGAUCUGUAUCCGGCCUGAGAGGGCGCACGGACACACUGGAACUGAAACACGGUCCAGACUCCUACGGGAGGCAGCAGUGGGGAAUUUUGCGCAAUGGGGGAAACCCUGACGCAGCAACGCCGCGUGGAGGAUGAAAUAUCUUGGUAUGUAAACUCCUUUCGAUGGGGACGAUAAUGACGGUACCCAUAGAAGAAGCCCCGGCUAACUUCGUGCCAGCAGCCGCGGUAAUACGAGGGGGGCAAGCGUUGUUCGGAAUUAUUGGGCGUAAAGGGUGCGUAGGCGGUUUGAUAAGUUCUGUGUGAAAUCUAUGGGCUCAACCCAUAGUCUGCACGGAAAACUGUCAGGCUUGAGAAUGGGAGAGGUGAGUGGAAUUUCCGGUGUAGCGGUGAAAUGCGUAGAUAUCGGAAGGAACACCUGUGGCGAAAGCGGCUCACUGGACCAUUUCUGACGCUGAUGCACGAAAGCUAGGGGAGCAAACAGGAUUAGAUACCCUGGUAGUCCUAGCCCUAAACGAUGAUUGCUUGAUGUGGUGGGUACCCAAUCCCG
rnacentral:rRNA from 1 species